UACGAAGGGGGCUAGCGUUGCUCGGAAUCACUGGGCGUAAAGGGUGCGUAGGCGGGUCUUUAAGUCAGGGGUGAAAUCCUGGAGCUCAACUCCAGAACUGCCUUUGAUACUGAGGAUCUUGAGUUCGGGAGAGGUGAGUGGAACUGCGAGUGUAGAGGUGAAAUUCGUAGAUAUUCGCAAGAACACCAGUGGCGAGGGCGGCUCACUGGCCCGAUACUGACGCUGAGGCACGAAAGCGUGGGGAGCAAACAGG
rnacentral:rRNA from 1 species